rnacentral:tRNA from 1 species
AAUCUAAUAAUAAACUAUUUAAAUUUAUUUUGAAAAUAAAUUAGAAGAAUGAUCUUGUAGUUUU